UGCAUUUCUAACAAGUUCCCAGGUGAUGUUGAUGCUGCUGGUCCAGCGCCACACCUGAGAACCACUGCCUAGCUAUAGGGAACUGUUGAAAAUACACUCUUCCUCGUGUAACACUUGAGAAACUCUGAUUCAUUCUUCUCCCACCUCAUUGCUUCCUAGAUUCAAUGAAGAUUCAGGCCUGCAUUGAAAUCCCAGCUCACUCCUGAUUAGUCACCUGCCUCAGGAGGCUAUAGCCCUCAGGGGGCUCUUGUCCUGGACUGACUUUGAGAAACUGAGGAAAGCUAUGGACACUUCUCCCAGCAAAAUAAACCUAGAAGAAGAUGGAAAAACAUGGGCAGUGAGCGCUGAAUGUAUCAGGCCGCAAACUCAGAUGCAAA
rnacentral:lncRNA from 1 species